CCUACGGGAGGCUGCAGUAGGGAAUAUUGCUCAAUGGGGGAAACCCUGAAGCAGCAACGCCGCGUGGAGGAUGAAGGUUUUCGGAUUGUAAACUCCUUUUGUUAGAGAAGAUAAUGACGGUAUCUAACGAAUAAGCACCGGCUAACUCCGUGCCAGCAGCCGCGGUAAUACGGAGGGUGCAAGCGUUAUCCGGAUUUACUGGGCGUAAAGAGCGCGUAGACGGGGAAGCAAGGCAGAUGUGAAAUCCUAGGGCUUAACCAUAGAACUGCCUUUGAAACUGGUAUUCUAGAGUAUGGGAGAGGUAGGUGGAAUGCGUGGUGUAGGGGUAAAAUGCAUAGAGAUCAAGAAGAAUACUGAUUGCGAAGGCAACCUGCUGGAACGUAACUGACGCUGAUGCUCGAAAGCGUGGGGAGCAAACAGGAUUAGAUACCCGUGUAGUC
rnacentral:rRNA from 1 species